AUGCAAGUUUUUUUGUUUUUUUGUUUUUAAAAGCUGGCAAUAGGAAAGCCAUGUUACGAGCCUUACGGACAUUGAAGUCGUUAAGGUCCCCAAAAAUGGCUAUAACA